UCUUUUAAUUGAAAACUGGUAUGAAAGGUAGAAACUAAAAAGAAAGUUUUAUUUUAUUAGUUUGAAAUUUAAUUAAAAAUAAAAAUGUUUUUAUAAUUCCUUGGGACGAGAAGACCCUAGAAGCUUAAAAAUUUAAUAUUUUUCAAUUGGGGUAAUUAUUGAAGAAUUAAAUAUUUUUAAUAAAUUUAUCUAAUAGUAUAAUAAGUUACUCUAGGGAUAACAGCGUUAUUUAAUUAACAAGUUCUUAUUAAUAAUUAAGUUUGCGACCUCGAUGUUGAAUUAAUUUUUAUUUUUGGUGAAGAAGCUAUAAUAGGUGAGUCUGUUCGACUUUUAAUAUAUUACGUGAUCUGAGU
rnacentral:rRNA from 1 species